rnacentral:rRNA from 1 species
GACGAACGCUGGCGGCGUGCUUAACACAUGCAAGUCGAACGGAAAGGCCCUGCUUUUGUGGGGUGCUCGAGUGGCGAACGGGUGAGUAACACGUGAGUAACCUGCCCUUGACUUUGGGAUAACUUCAGGAAACUGGGGCUAAUACCGGAUAGGAGCUCCUGCUGCAUGGUGGGGGUUGGAAAGUUUCGGCGGUUGGGGAUGGACUCGCGGCUUAUCAGCUUGUUGGUGGGGUAGUGGCUUACCAAGGCUUUGACGGGUAGCCGGCCUGAGAGGGUGACCGGCCACAUUGGGACUGAGAUACGGCCCAGACUCCUACGGGAGGCAGCAGUGGGGAAUAUUGCACAAUGGGCGGAAGCCUGAUGCAGCAACGCCGCGUGCGGGAUGACGGCCUUCGGGUUGUAAACCGCUUUCGCCUGUGACGAAGCGGGAGUGACGGUAAUGGGUAAAGAAGCACCGACUAACUACGUG